rnacentral:rRNA from 1 species
CGGAAGAGAUAAGUGCUGAAAGCAUCUAAGCACGAAACUUGCCCCGAGAUGAGUUCUCCCUGAGACUAUAAGUCUCCUGAAGGAACGUUAAAGACGAUGACGUUGAUAGGCCGGGUGUGUAAGCGCAGCGAUGCGUUGAGCUAACCGGUACUAAUGAACCGUGAGGCUUAACCUUACAACGCCGAAG